GAUGAACGCUGGCGGCGUGCCUAAUACAUGCAAGUCGAGCGAACCACUUCGGUGGUGAGCGGCGAACGGGUGAGUAACACGUAGGUGAUCUGCCCAUCAGACGGGGACAACGAUUGGAAACGAUCGCUAAUACCGGAUAGGACGAUAGUUUAAAGGUGCUUCUGGCACCGCUGAUGGAUGAGCCUGCGGCGCAUUCGCUAGUUGGUAGGGUAAAGGCCUACCAAGGCGACGAUGCGUAGCCGACCUGAGAGGGUGAACGGCCACACUGGGACUGAGACACGGCCCAGACUCCUACGGGAGUCAGCAGUAGGGAAUCUUCGGCAAUGGGCGAAAGCCUGACCGAGCAACGCCGCGUGAAUGAUGAAGGCCUUCGGGUUGUAAAAUUCUGUUAUAAGGGAAGAACGACUUUAGUAGGAAAUGGCUAGAGUGUGACGGUACCUUAUGAGAAAGCCACGGCUAACUACGUGCCAGCAGCCGCAGUAA
rnacentral:rRNA from 1 species